UUAAGUUUAAAGAUGGACAACCUGCUGAUGGAAGAGUUCAGCAGCAGAGCUCAGAGGUUCCCAGUGAUCAGUCUGCACAGCAGCAUCAAACACAGCUGGACUCCAUAUUUAUGCUGCUGGGGGAGAACAUCGUCACUUUUGUGAAGAACGAGCUGAAGAGAGUCCAG